CGAUUUCCAACGCAGCGCAGCCGCAGUCCUUGGGACUUGAAAUUUUAAUUUUCCGUCGUACGUAUUUGACACGAAAGUCAGCGAACCGGGCAAAGGCGGUUUAAAUAUGGGAUUGUCUGCCUUGGAAAGAAAUGUCAGGAUUAACGAUUUCUCGCAUCGAGGGGACGAUGGAAACAAAGACACGAUGACACGGCGGACACAUUGCACGAGCUAAUUAAGUCUCGCUAUCGAGUGUAAUACGAGGUUAAGAGAUUAUUGGACAAGACCACUCCAGGAAAUUACAGAAGCGCUCAGCGAAUUAAGAGUUAUUCUAAACUCCUGCUUUCGGUGAUUAAACUUUGUUUCGCAUGAAACAAUGGCAAUUGUAAGUUUAGGCAAACUAAAAGUUUCUUAUAGACUCUCUGAUUCUCAAUUUAAAUAAAAUAUUUAAAUGUUUCAGAUUAAAACGUUUUGGUCUUAUUUUAUGUAAUAAAAAAGUAAAAUAAAUGAAAAGAUGAAAAGAAAAAAUGCUGUACUUAAGAUGAUUGGGUUUGUUACGCAAGCGUUACACAAGCACAUUUUUGAGAACAUGUUAAUUAAAAAUUUUACGGCCAACGUGAAGAUUGAGCCAGAAGAUGGGGUCUUGAAAUUGUUAUAUGAAUGUAAAUGGUCUGUGUUUCCAUGGGUCGUAUAAAUUGCUGGACCUGGUAUCUGUAUACUUUAUAGCGAUAGACGUGUCGUAAAUCCAUGACAUGAUGCACGUGCAACUCAUGAUCACAGGAUCCGCUCUUCGGACCUAAUUGAUUUCCUUCGCCUGUAUCCAUUACUGUCAUUUUACUAAUCUUUCAAUUAUUAAUAUAGGAAUAAUACUUGAAAUCGUAAAAGCAUUAUGCGUUAGAUUGAUUUAUACGAAAUAUCGUUUUCUCGAUUUGUAGUAGUAUGAAUUUGACAGGCCAGUAUCAUCCAUUAGAUUCUGUUUGAUAUUUUUUCUAUUUGUUUCAAAAACAUCCAUUACACCAUUAUUUAAAAAAUCAAAUAAAAGAUACAUCAUUUCAUCAAUAUCGCAUUAAAUUCCAACACAAUGACUAGUACUAAAAUUUACUGUACGAAGCAUUAAGAAAUCUUACCCGUCAGAGAAAUCCGAAACGUUUCAAUAUUCAUACAGAGUUUAUCGUGAAUGUUCCCAUGCUAGACCACUCGACAAAGAUCGAUUAAUUCAUUUUACUGGCGAUUACGAACAAUCCGAUUAUUUUAGCUGACUAACAGAGCAGCACAGUCGCGAUACGUCAAACGAACUGGAUACCAAAUGGUACGGUGGCAAAUCCGUUUUUAAUUUCUAAUUGUUUUCCCAGCUCGUGUGCAGUACGACCUUGUCAAUUAUGAAACUAUUGAAUUUCAAUAGAGAACGUUGUAACAGGUGUAAAAAGCGUCGCAAUAAUUUAUAUCCUAAAUAUUUUUUCUUUAUUAUCCUCUUGGCCAGGAUAUUUAUUUGGAAACGCACUGGCUGAAAGGAUAAUUUCAGUAUAUUAACACUUACGACUUAUUCAUAACUUGAAAUUAUCAUAGAGCGCGAGUCGCUUAAUGUUUUUGCUACUGCCCGAGUAUUUUUACGUUUAUAGCUGGAUAGAUGUGCCUUAAAUUUAUCGUUUUUAAUUAAAUCGCUCACUAUAAAUCGAUCAUUAUGAAGCGAUUUUCCAACAAACCUUUUUUUAUUAACUUUUAUAAUAGUGUUAAUAAAUUAACGUUAGUCACUUACAACUAUUAUUACUAACGAAACAAAAAUUUUCGUGCCCGACUUUUGCAAUAGAGAGUUCAAAUUCUCAGAAAGAAUAUCAAAAGAUCCAGAUAGAGACGCAAUGUCCCUAUGCACAGGGGAACUUAUAUAAAGGUCCAAUGAGCCGCAAGUUCGUUCUGUUUUACGAAGGAAAAUAUUCGCUAAGUAACAUCGGUAUA